rnacentral:rRNA from 1 species
GGGAGAAAGGGGGGGAUCUUCGGACCUCUCGCUAUGAGAUGAGCCCAAGUCGGAUUAGCUAGUUGGUGAGGUAAAGGCUCACCAAGGCGACGAUCCGUAGCUGGUCUGAGAGGAUGAUCAGCCACACUGGAACUGAGACACGGUCCAGACUCCUACGGGAGGCAGCAGUGGGGAAUAUUGGACAAUGGGCGAAAGCCUGAUCCAGCCAUGCCGCGUGUGUGAAGAAGGCCCUCGGGUCGUAAAGCACUUUAAGCGGGGAGGAAGGGGUGUUGGUUAAUAACCAUCAUCAUUGACGUUACCCGCAGAAUAAGCACCGGCUAACUCUGUGCCAGCAGCCGCGGUAAUACAGAGGGUGCAAGCGUUAAUCGGAAUUACUGGGCGUAAAGCGCGCGUAGGCGGUUGUGUAAGUUGGAGGUGAAAUCCCCGGGCUCAACCUGGGCACUGCCUUCAAAACUGCACGGCUAGAGUAUGGGAGAGGAAGGUAGAAUUCCAGGUGUAGCGGUGAAAUGCGUAGAGAUCUGGAGGAAUACCGAUGGCGAAGGCAGCCUUCUGGCCUAAUACUGACGCUGAGUGCGAAAGCAUGGGGAGCAAACAGGAUUAGAUACCCUGGUAGUCCAUGCCGUAAACGAUGUCGACUAGUGUUGGGGAACUUGAUUCCUUAGUGCCGCAGCUAACGCAUUAAGUCGACCGCCUGGGGA